rnacentral:rRNA from 1 species
CCCCUAGAUGUUCUGGGCCGCACGCGCGCUACACUGAACAGUUCAACAAGUCUUAACCUUGGCCGAUAGGUCUGGGUAAUCUUUGAACGCUGUUCGUGAUUGGGAUAGACCUUUGCAAUUAUGGGUCUUCAACGAGGAAUUCCUAGUAAACGCAAGUCAUCAGCUUGCAUUGAUUCCGUCCCUGCCCUUUGUACACACCGCCCGUCGCACCUACCGAUUGAAUGGUCCGGUGAAAUCUCGGGACGGCGGCUUGGUCGCUUGCGUCCGACUGCUGAAACUUGAUUAAACCAUAUCAUUUAGAGGAAGGUGAAGUCGUAACA